rnacentral:rRNA from 1 species
CGAACGGGUGAGUAGCGCGUGAGGAACCUGCCUCAAAGAGGGGGACAACAGUUGGAAACGACUGCUAAUACCGCAUAAGCCCACGGGUCGGCAUCGACCUGAGGGAAAAGGAGCAAUCCGCUUUGAGAUGGCCUCGCGUCCGAUUAGCUAGUUGGUGAGGUAACGGCCCACCAAGGCGACGAUCGGUAGCCGGACUGAGAGGUUGAACGGCCACAUUGGGACUGAGACACGGCCCAG